GGGGCUAAAACAUACGGCCGAAGCGACGGCAUAUGGAAUGAGGAGGUGGGGAGCUGCACAUGCGGGUUGAAGCAGGAUCGUAAGGACAUGUGGAAAGGAUGGGAGGGAGAAUGUUGGCAUGAGUAGCGAGAUGUGGGUGAGAAUCCAACAGGCCGUAAACACAAGGUUUCCAGGGGAAGGUUCGUCCGACCUGGGUUAGUCGGGACCUAAGCUGAGGCCGAAAGGCGUAGGGGAUGGACAACAGGUUGAUAUUCCUGUACUACCGAUAACAGUUUGAGAGAAGGGAUGACAUAGUAGGAUAAGCUAAGCACACAGUUGGUUAUGUGUGCCAAAGCAUUGCGGCAGUCAAAGUAGGCAAGUCCGCUCUGAUAAUGCUGGGAUGUGAUGGGGAGCGAAAUGUAGUAGCGAAGUAGCUGAUUACACACUGU
rnacentral:rRNA from 1 species